CUUCUGGUCCGGGGCGAGGGGGGCGGUGGCUGGAUUCAGCCCCCCUCAGCCUGGGGCUCCUCCGUGGGGCUCUGCAGGUCCCUCGCAUCCAUCCGGCACCUCUUGCCCCUGGCCGUGCCGUGUGCCCAGUAGAGGCAGCAGAGGAGCUGCCGCUGAACUGCCAGCCUGGUGCACAUGCAUCUUCCGGCUCUUUCUCGAGCUAAUUAAAUACAUUCUUGAAAGGUUUAUGCCCUCGUCUAUCACAGGGAGACAGCAUCAGUGAGACCCGUCCCCGGGCUGGCAUGAGCUGGGAAGGGGCUGGCUGCACGAGCGCUCAUGCUGCAGCAGUGCUGCCUGACAGUGACUCGGGUGCCGAGUCCCCGCGCGCAGCUGGCUGCUGCGAUCACCGUCAUGCCAGAAGCCGAGAGAGGCUGAGGGCUUGGGGUUUUUUCCCAUUACCCCUCUUUAAAGCAACGCUGUGUAGCUCUGCAGUUGCUGCGUGGGAAGUGGAGCUGGGGAGGACGCAGGGGGCUCCUGUGGCUAAUGCCCCCUCUCUGAUGUCCUCUCUCCGUAGCUCAUGCUGGAGGAGCCUGGUGCUGUCUGUGACCGGCCGUGGGUCUGGCUCCAUCUGUGGGCUUGGGGUGUCCUUGCGCUCCCUGUUGGGGGAAGCUCUGCAUUUCUGUCAGAAGGGGGGUUGGAGGAACCCCUGGCAAAAGCUGCCUCCCAGGCAGAGGAAAUGGGAUGGAUUCAUGUUGGACUAGCAGGUGUCCUCUCUUUUUGCCUUCAGUCAGCUGCUGUCUGAGACAAGCGAAGGAUUUUCCCAACGGGUGAUGGUUCCAGGGCAAAGCAGCCUGACCUCUGGGAGCCCCAGGGGCUCGCACGGAUCCUCCCGAUGCUGGCUCGACUGAUGGAAAGUCGCUUAAAGCUUCCCUGUUACCCUGCAGAGAUACCCCAUGUCCUUUGUCUCAAAGGUCGGAGCCGUGGCUGCCGUUCCCACAGGGCUUUGGGACCAUCGACGGCCUUUCCAGGACGCGUUUGGAGCUGCUGAAAUGCAAUCAGCCGUGGCUGCGGUGCUGCCUGGCCCCUCCUCGCCUGCCAGAACGGCUGCUGCUGCUGGUUGGUUUUUUUUUUCCCCUUCUGGAGGGAUCCUGUGGCUUCCUUCCCAGAACCUGAGACCUCAGAGCCACGGUCCAAGGCCACCGGCUUCCACCCUCUCCUGUGCUGCUGAUUCAUCACUGCUGGUUAGUUAAAAAAGGGUAAUCAGCAAAUUACUGAAAUAUAAGUAAAAUAAACAAGGUGGGCAGGA